GCAUGUAAGGUAGGAUAGUUGCCAGACCACUCCACCUGACAGAGAAGUGUAAGCAGGGUAUUGUGCUCAUUUGUGAAUUUGGUCUUUUUGCUUUCCUUGCUGAUUUCCAGAGGAUGGUUCUAAUGCAUCCUCAAUCUAUAAAAGAGGAUGUGAAAAAUAUGAAGACAGGCUUCUGGUAUUGGUUAUGAACAUGCAUGAAGAUGUAUUGGAUGAUCUUAAAAAUCCCUUGAAAACCACAUCAGAAAUAGACAACCUCUCCACCUCUCUUAAAGAAAAUAUGAAAUCGAGACUCAUCAGACCAGACAACAUUUUUCCA